rnacentral:tRNA from 1 species
UCUAGCUCAGUUGGUAGAGCACUGGUCUCCAAAACCAGGUGUCGUGAGUUCGAAUCUUAC